UUUAUUUUGACUCUCAGCCAUGAAAAGAUGAGGAAUUCAACAUACACAGUAAUACUUUUUCCCUGUCAACUUUAACAAGAACGGUGAUAUUCCUUCAAGGGCAAUGCACGAAGCAAGAUUACUGAAAAAUAUCAAGAAACACCCAAGGUUUAGAAGCUUUGGUUCCCAGAAGAUACACUUCCAACAAGGUACACAGUAAGAGCCCCAUUGACCUUUAAGCCGUGGUGGACAUCUGGUCCCGUUGGACUCCGCAUGCCAAGAGGAGCAAAGAAAGGGACCACCAUACAGGUUCAAGAAGUAGACAGCAGUGUUUAAUAUUGGCUACAGGAAGUGGGCUUGCCCAAGACUAUGUUGCCCUCCAGGGGGUGAGCUAUGGCUAAAAACUGGCUGAUACAGGGAUAUGAAAUCCCAGUCCCCUUGCCCCAGUAUGGGACAACCCUGACAGGCCAACUCCAGAAUUUCAAGCAGGAUUGGCUGAGACCUUGGUUGCAAGAGGUUCAUGCCAUCUUCUCUUAGUACGUUAA